rnacentral:lncRNA from 1 species
UAUACAUUGGAAUCUACUCUAGUUCAAUACUGAGUAGACUUUAAAUGACACUAAGUACCCGCUUCCCAAAGAACAAUACAACCAUUUACACUUCGCUCUGCCCUCCCGACUUUCCUGAUUUUGGACUUUGAGAGUACGUGGUACCAAUACACUCCACCAAUGGAUUUCUGUCUGGUUCAUUGUUGCUCUCGAACAGCUCCUGUUCCUUACUCUUCUUCCUGCUGGGAAGGGGUGAGUUGUAGGUGACAUGACCAUAAAGGGUAAAGGUAAAGGACCCCUGGACAGUUAAGUCCAGUCAAAGGCGAUUAUGGGGUUGUGGCACUCAUCUCCACCCCCAUUGUUCUGCCCGGACACUGAGAUCCAGCGCUGAGGGCCUUCUGGCGGUUCCCUCAUUGCGAGAAGUGAGGUUACAGGGAACCAGGCAGAGGGCCUUCUCGGUAGUGGCACCCGCCCUGUGGAACACCCUCCCACCAGAUGUCAAGGAAAUAAGCAGCUAUCUUCUCUUUAAGACAUCUGAAGGCAGCCCUCUUUAGGGAGGUUUUUAAUAUUUAAUACUGUAUUGUUUUUAACACUUGAUUGGGAGCCGCCCAGAGUGGCUGGGGAAACUCAGCCAGAUGGGCGGGGUAUAGAUAAUAAAUUAUUACUACUACUACUACUAUGAUGAUGAUGAUGAUGAUCAUCAUCAUCAUCAUCAUCAUCUCACUUUCAGGAGAGCUUUCCAGGUCAUGCAGCCAGCAGGACUAAACCGCUUUUGGCGCAACGGAACACCAUGACGGAAACCAGAGUGCAUGGAAACGCCAUUUACCUUCCCGCCAGAGCGGUACCUAUUGCAAGAGUUCGAUAAAGAUCAGGCUUACUAGCUGCUUUGCUUCUGGUUGGCCUCUGUUAUUUUCUCCGACUGAUGGAGAACCUACAAAGGACUCUAUAAGGGCUGUUGUGUUCCCCAUAAGGGAAUAAGGGCAGUUUUUUGUUUAUUACAGAUAGAUAGAUAGAUAGAUAGAUAGAUAGAUAGAUAGAUAGAUAGAUUCGGGCACCUCUCAGUUCUGGCACCUUUCAAUUCUGGCACCUUUCAAUUCUGGCACCUCUCAGGUGGGUACCAUUGCCAUUAUAAGAGAACGGGGCGGGGGCGGUGGAGGCAUUCAUAGUGAGUUCUGGCCCCUCUUUUUCUAGAAAAAUAGCACUAAAUAGAUAUAAUCAUUAUAUAAUGAGUCUGGCUGGGGCAACCCAGUGAGGUGGCCGGCAUGUAAAUCAUAAAAUUAUUUUGUUGUUGUUGUUGUUGUUAACCUGCCAAUCCACUGUGCUCAGCAAUAGCAGUUUGAUCUUCCAAACCGCUUAACAGCACUCAUAACUGGUGUCGCAGAGCAUAGCUAUGAAAGUUUGCAAGGAAAUUCAAGACUGGGAAGGGGAGUCUGGAGGUUUCCCGUCGAUCCGCUGGAGCGGGGCCUUCCUAGUGACGUUUCCAGGGGUGCAGGAGAAGCCGCUGAUGGCACCUUGACCGCCCUUGCGACACUGCCAGAGGUCUCCCAGCCCACGCUUCCGGAACGGCGCACCGCGUCACGGGUGCCCUGAAAACUGAGGACACGUCCAAUAGCCCCUCGUGGUGCCGGGCUGCUGGCCUUGAGCGGGCGGGGGUGAUACCGAGAGCGAAACCCUCUGGAAGAUGACCAGUGACCCCUGUGCAUUUACGCUGUUUCUAAAGAUAGGGCAGCGUGUUUGCUAAGGGUUUACACAUUGACAGAACUCCAGGCGGGCGCAGAAAAACCAGCCGUGAAAUUGUGAGUAAGCGCCGCGGUACCGAAACCCUUGUGACCCCCCCUGGUUAUUCACCGUCUGAAUUUGUCUGUCUGUCUGCAAGCAGCAACUGCUGUCAUUUACCCAUUCCUAGUCCUGAGUCUUUUGGCAAAUGUUCUUUUAUUUUUUAAACCACAAACAGGAUCUGGGAGGUCCGGGGGCCGGGAAACAUGGAGGCGGGCGCAAGAUAAGGGUUCAGUUGCUGGGAAAUUAUGAUCUUGCUUCUGGUUAUCAAGUGUCCUUGGGUUGGGACGGUUUGUGGUCAAAAUAGGGGGGUGGGAAUAUAAGAAAAACCACAGACUGAGCUUUGCUGUUGCUCUGUGCUUGCUAGGAAGGGGUUAACAGAAGGAUUCUGGGAAGUGAGAGGCCAUAUUCUCAUGUUUGGGUCUGGUCUAUGGCUGAGCAGGCCCCAGAGGAUUCUGGGAAUUGAGGCCAUAUUGUCGUGUUUGGGUCUGGUCUAUGGCUGAGCAGGCCCCAGAGGAUUCUGGGAAUUGAGGCCAUAUUGUCGUGUUUGGGUCUGGUCUAUGGCUGAUCAGGCCCCAGAGGAUUCUGGGAAAUGAGAAGCCAUAUUGUCAUGUUUGGGUCUGGUCUAUGGCUGAGCAGGCCCCAGAGGAUUCUGGGAAGUGAGAGGCCAUGUUGUCAUGUUUGGGCCUGGUCUAUGGCUGAGCAGACCCCAGAGGAUUCUGGGAAGUGAGAGGCCAUGUUGUCAUGUUUGGGUCUGGUCUAUGGCUGAGCAGGCCCCAGAGGAUUCUGGGAAGUGAGAGGCCAUGUUGUCAUGUUUGGGCCUGGUCUAUGGCUGAGCAGGCCCCAGAGGAUUCUGGGAAGUGAGAGGCCAUAUUGUCGUGUUUGGGUCUGGUCUAUGGCUGAGCAGGCCCCAGAGGAUUCUGGGAAGUGAGAGGCCAUAUUGUCGUGUUUGGGUCUGGUCUAUGGCUGAGCAGGCCCCAGAGGAUUCUGGGAAGUGAGAGGCCAUAUUGUCAUGUUUGGGUCUGGUCUAUGGCUGAGCAGGCCCCAGAGGAUUCUGGGAAGUGAGAGGCCAUAUUGUCAUGUUUGGGUCUGGUCUACGGCUGAGCAGGCCCCAGAGGAUUCUGGGAAGUGAGAAGCCAUAUUGUCAUGUUUGGGUCUGGUCUCUGGCUGAGCAGGCCCCAGAGGAUUCUGGGAAAUGAGAAGCAACCUUAAUAGUCACAAAGAAUUAUGGGAAAGGAAAACGCCCUGCUGGCAACCAAGAAACGGACCCUUUCAGUUCCUUUGCGAAUCCCGGCUCACUUCUCCUUUCUGGGCACUUGCAUAACGUCUCUCAAAUGUCAGCGCGGAGAGUUAGGCCAGUGGAGGAGGGAAUCUCCCACAAAAGAAGUUGUUGACUUCCUCUCCCAGCUGGGAGAGGAAGUUGGUCAUGCGCACAGGAAAUUGCGCUCGCCGCAUGUGUGUGUGUGUGUGUUAUUGCCUUCCAACUUCUGCCGAAUUUCAGCCACUCCCAAGCAAAACAAAACAAAACAAACAGCCCCGGAGAAGAAGUUGCGGGCAGCGUGCGCACAAGAUGGGGGAGAUACCGGGUUCAGAUCUUACCGCUGACGCUCACUCGCUCAGUGGCGUCAAGGCUAUGGGGCCACGCAGCCGAAACUGGCACACAUGACCCCCUCAGAGCAGACCCUACGGCUGCCUGGUGCCCCCUGGACUACAACUCCCAUCUUCAGCCCCCUCCUGGUUGCUGAUCAUCAUGACAGCUAAAAAAUAUGCAAUUGUUAACCUGUGGAACUCCCUGCCACAAGAGGGAGGCAGUGAUGGCUUUAAAAGAGGCUCUUCUUAUGUGCACAUUCCAGACUGGGGCCCUGUGCUGUUACUUCUCCUUCGAAACUGAAGCAGUCAAUAUGUGGUGGGAUUAAUAAUAAUAAUAAUAAUUUAUUUGUACCCCGCCCAUAUGGCUGGGUUUCCCCAGCCACUCUGGGCGGCUUCCCCAAAGACCAAAAAUACACCAAGAUGCCACGCAUUAAAAACUUCCGUGAACAGGGCUGCCUUAAGAUGUCUUCUGAAUGUCAGGUAGUUGUUUAUCGCUUUGACAUCUGAUGGGAGGGCAUUCUACAGGGAGGGCGCCACCACCGAGAAGGCCCUCUGCCUGGUUCCCUGUAGCUUUGCUUCUCGCAGGGAGGGAACCGCCAGAAGGCCCUCGGAGCUGGACCUCAGCGUCCGGGCAGAACGAUGGGGGAGGAGACGCUCCUUCAGGUAUACUGAGCCUUUGAGGCCGUUUAGGGCUUUCAAGGUCACCACCAACACUUUGAAUUGUCCUCGGAAACGUACUGGGAGCCAAUGCAGAUCUCUCAGAACCGGCGUUAUGUGGUCUUGGUGGCCGCUCCCAGUCACCAGUCUAGCUGCCGCAUUCUGGAUUAAUUGCAGUUUCCGGGUCACCUUCAAAGGUAGCCCCACACAGAGCGCAUUGCAGUAGUCCAAGCGGGAGAUAACCAGAGCAUGCACCACUCUGGCCAGACAGUCCGUGGGCAGGGAGGGUCUCAUCCUGCGUACCAGAUGGAGCUGAUAAACAGCUGCCCUGGAUACAGAAUGGACCUGCGCCUCCAUGGACAGCUGUGAGUCCAAAAUGACUCCCAGGCUGCGCACCUGGUCCUUCAGGGGCACAGUUGCCCCAUUCAGGACCAGGGAGUCCUCCACACCCGCCCACCUCCUGCCCCCCAAAAACAGUACUUCUGUCUUGUCAGGAUUCAACUUCAAUCCAUUAGCCGCCAUCCAUCCUCCAACCGUCUCCAAGCACUGACACAGGACCUUCACCGCCUUCACUGGUUCUGAUUUGAAAAGAGAGGUAGAGCUGGGUAUCAUCUGCAUAUUGAUGGACACCCAGUCCAAACCCCCUGAUGAUCUCUCCCAGCGGCUUCAUAUAGAUGUAAUGAAAUUAAAAAUUUUUGGGAAAUGAUAUACAAUAAAUUGAAGAAAAUGUUCUAUCUAACAUUUGUUAAGAAACCUGAAGCAUUACUGUUAGGGGUUGUAGGAAAAGACCUGCCAAAGAAGUAGAAAAAGAUCUUUGUGUAUGCGACAAUGGCGGUGAGAGUCUUAAUAGCACAAGGAUGGAAGAAUGAAGAAAUCCUGACCAAAGAACUGUGGCAAGAGAAACUGAUGGACUAUGCAGAACUGGCAAAAUUGACACAUAAAUUACGGGACAAGGAUAACUGUGACUUUAAAGAGGAAUGGGAACCUUUUACAAAGUAUUUAGACUCCUUGGAAGGCUUUGAAUAAACACUCACAAGCUUUUUAUUGAUAAUAACCAGUCAGAUAAAUUAAGGAUUUAUACAAUUUUAUAACAUGCAGAGAAUAGGAUCUAUAGAGAAACCAGAGAUUGGAACUGAGGGAAGUCGGGGUGUGUGUGUGUUGUUUUAUGGGGGGGGGGGGAUAGGGGAAAAAAUUAAGGAUGAUAUGUUUUAAGAUAACAUGUUUUGUUUAAAUUCCUAAUAAAAAAUAUUUUAAAAAAGAAAAGAAACUGAAGCGGUCAACUUCCGCACACCUUUUUUAAAAUAUAGAUAAUGGUGGUUACAGAACUAACGGGCCAGAUUCGUGGAGGAGGGCAAGGGUCUCAUAAAGAUGUUCUUCAAAGUGUGUAUUCAUGAUCUGGGCUCAUGAUCUCUUGGACAGACGCAACCCCACUCUCGUGAACUGUUUGUGCCUGCAAAAGUUUCAGAGGGCGGACACGAUUCUCCGUUUCCAACCACGGCAAGCCCCGUAACUUCCUGCUGCAACCGGGCAACUUUUUACGUACCACAAAUGCUCUGAGAUAUUUUCGGCUCCUCUUCCUUUGUGCCACAGCGCAAGGUUGCUCCUCGGGGCGGCAAUAGCACAAUUGUGUUGGAGGAACACCACCAAACAAGAAGAGCGACGUGUGGACGGUCUGGUAUAAAUGCUCCAGCAAUGCGCUUUUAUUGCACCCAUGACCUGAUGCAGAAGGCACCCACAGACCAGCACCCUGAAAUCUGGAGGGUGCCUUCUGUGCAGCCGGGUCCUGGGGUGGCACAGUCCAGGCUUUGGACACAGGGGGGGUCUCCAGUUCAAUAACCGAUUACUCAGCACCUGAACUUGACCAUCGGGCCUCUCCCUUCCCAGAAUCCUCCAGCGCCCGCUCAGCCGCAGGCCAGAUUAUGCAACUGACGCAGCUCUCUUAUUCGGAUUUUCAAAGAUUUAGGCAAUCUCUGGAUUUAGAGAGGGGAAACUGGGGGGUGGCAGUAGUUGGAGGAGAAGGCCGCUUGGGCGAGGGGGAAACUAAAGGAGGCACGCGGGGUUUGCAAAUCACAUGAAGACGAGGUGUGGACAAGCCCCUAAUGGAAAUAAUAAUGAUAAAAUAAUACAGUGGUACCUCGGGUUGAGUACUUAAUUCGUUCCGGAGGUUUGUACUUAACCUGAAACUGUUCUUAACCUGAAGCACCACUUUAGCUAAUGGGGCCUCCUGCUGCUGCUGCCACGCCACCAGAGCACGAUUUCUGUUCUCAACCUGAAUCAAAGUUCGUAACCUGAAACACUAUUUCUGGGUUAGCGGAGUCUGUAACCUGAAGCGUAUGUAACCCGAGGUACCACUGUAAUAAUAAUAUAAUUUAUUAUUUAUACCCCGCCCAUCUGACUGGGUCUCCCCAGCCACAAUGGGCGGCUUCCAAUCAGAAACAAUACAGCGUCAGACAUUAAAAACUUCCCUAAACAGCUGUCUUUUAAAAGUAAAAUAGCAUUUUAUUGCCUUGACAUCUGCUGGGAGAGCAUUUCACAGGGCAGGCGCCACCACCGAGAAGGCCCCCUGCCUGGUUCCCUGUAACUUGGCUUCUGGCAGUGAGGGAACCGCCAGAUGGCCCUUGGUGCUGGACCUCAGUGUCCGGGCUGAACGAUGGGGGUGGAGACGCUCCUUCAGGUCUACUGGGCCGAGGCCGUUUAGGGCUUUAAAGGUCAACACCAACAUUUUGAAUUGUGCUCGGAAACGGACUGGGAGCCAAUGAAGAUCUUUCAAGACCAGUGUUAUGUGGUUCCGGCGGCUGCUCCCAGUUACCAGUCUAGCUGCCGCAUUCUGGAUUAUUUGCAGUUUCCGGGUCACCUUCAAAGGUAGCCCUACAUAGAGAGCAUUGCAGUAGUCCAAGCAGGAGACAAGUAGACCAUGCACCACUCUGGCAUAAGAACUGGGGGGGGGGGAGAGCCCCAAGUUCAGGCAAAGGAAGGUGUUGCAGAGAAGAAGUUAGGGCAGACUGCAGAAGGACAGAUGGAUCUGGCUCUCCUGAAAUCUACGUGGUGCUGCCUGGGCACUCCGUUGUCUAGCUGAACACCUCCUUCUCUCAGACAUUAUCUGGAAGCGCUCUUCCCACACCCACAGGUCUCUCCGUGCUGGGAAAGCACCCCUGCCGUGCAGAUGCCAGCGUCUGGCCCUCCGUGAGACAUACACAUCUGACUCAUCCCAUCCUGCUUGGCUGGGGUGACACAGGGCCAGGGCAGCCUGGGGAAUUGUUUGGGGACUGUUCUGCAGAUGCGCUUGGGUGAGAACAGAACUGUUUGACGGGAGGCAGAGGGAGCCAAAUUUUGGCUUUUCUAGAUCCUGAAGCUGAGGCUCCAAGACUUUGGCCACUUCACGAGAAGAGAAGACUCCCUGGAAAAGACCCUGAUGCUGGGAAAGAUGGAGGGCACAAGGAGAAGGGGACGACGGAGGACGAGAUGGUGGGACAGUGUUCUCGAAGCUACCAGCAUGAGUUUGACCAAACUGUGGGAGGCAGUGGAAGACAGGAGGGCCUAGCAUGCUCUGGUCCAGGGGUCACAAAGAGUCGGACACGACUAAACGACUAAACAACACUACUACUACUCCAGGAGUAGUGCCAAGUCCCCACCAUGGUCUCGAGCUAAAGUCAGGACGAUGAGCCUGACCGUUCCCCGAUACCAUACGCAAUUCUUCUUCUUCGGCGAUCACUUGUAGCCGAGUUUUAACACAGUUUUAACAGUGAGUCCAUAGGUGACUGUGGAGGCUAAUUCUGGAUCCACAUGUCCUUCCACAGUGGGGACAUUGAUUUCCGGGCAGGAGUUGAUCCCGGUGUGGAUUUGCCAAGCGUGCCUUCCUCUUAGCACGUUUCUCGCUUGCAUCCUGAGUUCGAGUGUUUUCAAAGCCCAGGACACCUUUGGUCAAGGCUGUUCUCCAACUGGAGCGCUCGCAGGCCAGUGUUUCCCAGUUGUUGGUGUUUAGACUACCUUUUUUUAGAUUUGCCUUGAGAGAGUCUUUAAACCCUUUUUGUUGACCACCAGCAUUAUGCUUUCCAUUUUUAAGUUCGGAAUAGAGUAGUUGCUUUGGAAGACGAUCAUCAGGCAUCCACACAACAUGACCAGUCCAACGAAAUUGAUGUUGAAGAAUCAUUGCUUUAACACUGGUGAUCUUUGUUUCUUCCAGUACGCUGGUAUUAGUUCGCCUGACUUCCCAAGUGUGAUGUGUCAAAUUUUUCGGAGACACCGCUGAUGACCUUAAAACCCCGAACCAUUUGUCCUAAUUCUUUGGCACAAGUGAAACCAACUAUUAAAUGCAUGCUUAAAUGAAAUACCAUUAUUUUUUAUGAAAAACUCCACAUUUUCUGUGAAUGGGUACUGACUGACCAAUCAGGAUGGUUAGAUUUUGACAGACAGCCAAUCAGAUGUUGCAAACAGCAACCUCAAGUGUCUGGAACAUGCAGUCGGCAGGGAAUCACUGCAAUGCUGGGAAGGCAGCCCUGCCUUUGGUCGAUUGAGCGCCGCCCUGCUGGGCAGACAAUGGAAUUGGAUUCAUAAAAGGUAUCCAUUCUGAUUUCAAUUGCCCAGAAGUGUUACAAUGCAUCUUUUGAACUUGGCUGAAGGGGAAAACAUACAAAAUCUCCAGAAAUUCAUAUAAAAUCAAUGCCUUAAGUGAUUCGCUCCAUUCCAAUGGCAUCUUACUCCGACUUGGAAGGCAGAACUUAGGUGUGGCCUUCCUCCAUAAUCCUACAGGCAUUUUGUCAUGACAGGGUCGUGGGUGGCGCUGUGGUGUAAACCACUGAGCCUCUUGGUUUUACCGAUCAGAAGGUCGGCAGUUCGAAUACCCACAACAGGGUGAGCUCCCGUCGCUCGGUCCCUGCUCCUGUCAACCCAGCAGUUCGAAAGCACGUCAAAGUGCAAGUAGAUAAAUAGGUACCACUCCGGCGGGAAGGUAAACGGCGUUUCCAUGCGCUGCUCUGGUUCGCCAGAAGCGACUUAGUCCUGCUGGCCACAUGACCCGGAAGCUGUACGCCAGCUCCCUUGGCCAGUAAAGCGAGAUGAGUGUCGCAACCCCAGAGUCGGCCACGACUGGACCUAAUGGUCAGGGGUCCCUUUACCUUUACUACGGGUAUUAAAGCCCCUACAGUCAGUUGCAUGAGGAGGAAAGCAUAUGGUUAUUCUUGUUAUUGUAGAACAAGUAUUGAGUUUCCCCUGUAUGGCUAUAAGACUUUAUUUUGAUGCAUCUUUAGCACAUUAAUUCCUAGUACAGUGGUACCUCGGGUUACAGAUGCUUCAGGUUACAUACACUUCAGGUUACAGACUCUGAAAUAGUACCUUGGGUUAAGAACUUUGCUUCAGGAUGAGAACAGAAAUCGUGCUCUGGUGGCGUGGCAGCAGCAGGAGGGCCCAUUAGCUAAAGUGGUGGUUCAGGUUAAGAACAGUUUCAGGUUAUGAAUGGAACCUCUGGAACGAAUUAAGUUCUUAACCCAUGGUACCACUUUAACAAUGUAGCAAACCACACUAGAGGACUGCAAGGAGUGAAUGAAUCGCGAAAGGUUCCAAAGGAGUCUUCCUGCUGCAACUCUGUAUGCUCUGCUGCUGGAUCUGGCCUUCAAACCAGCCUCUGCUGGGCGGCAGAUCAUUCUGUCUCUUUUCAUCCACAGCACAGGAUUCAAUCAGGCUGCUGAGAGCUGAAACCUUUUGGGCGGUCAUCCCAUAGGUUUUGAGUGAACAAAAGCUGCGGCGACGUUAGAACGAGACAUUGAAGGAGUUUUGUCCUUUCUGACGAACAAGACCUCGUCUGGAGUUUGAAUCCCUGUGGGCAGCCCCACCACAGGUGUGGGAAAGUGCCUAUUUUCCCACAGCCCCUCCUGAAGCGCCAAGAAGAUGGUGGUGUUGGCAUGGCCAAUUUUCACCGGCGUGCAGUGCCAUCUCUGUCGACGCAGCGGCGGCGCUGUCUGGGCACAACAUGGAGGGAGGAGACCAGAAGCACAGCGAGAAAAUCCUGUCCCCAACUUUCUUUGGCGGUUGGUAUUCAAAUGAUCUCUCUGAAGUUUGCACAACCGGAGGCAGAAAUCUGGCUGCUAAAGCAGAGGGGGAAAUCCCCGCACAAGAACCUGAGAACUUCUCAUCUGAUAAUAGAGUCCCUUUGGGCUCUGCGGCGUCCUCCCCACCUGCCGGAGGAAGACAGAACAUUGCACACACCCCAAAAAGCAUGCUCCUUGCAAGGUCAGCUUGUAACGUGGAAAUUCCAGCGUGAGGUUGCAAGGCAACUGGGGUCCGAAAUACUGGUCACGCUGGUUUGGAACAUAGAUCCUAGUUUAGACAAGUUCUGGUCUGGGGGAAAGGUGGGGUGUUAAUAAUAAUAACAGAAUCACAGAGGUGGAAGGGACCCUGAGGGUCAUCUAGUCCAACCCCCUGCCAUGCAGGAAUAUGAAGCUCUCCAGUAUGGGGAUCGAACCUGCAACCUUGCCAUUUUCAGCACCACACUUUAAUCAACUGAGCUCUUCUUCUUCUUCUUCUUCUUCUUCUUCUUCUUCUUCUUCUCAUCAUCAUACCCUGCCUAUCUGGCUGGGUUUCCCCAGCCACUCUGGGCGGCUCCCAACAGAACACUAAAAACAGAAUAAAACUUCAAACAUUAAAAACUUCCCUAAAGAGGGCUGCCUUCAGAUGUCUUGUAAAAGUCAGGUAGUUGUUGUUCUAUUUGACAUCUGAAUGGAGGGUGUUCCACAGGGCAGGUGCCACCACCGAGAAGGCCCUCUGGCUUGUUUCCUUGUAACUUGGCUUCUCGCAGCAAGGGAACCGCCAGAAGGCCCUUGGCGCUGGACCUCAGUGUCCAGGCUGAACGAUGGGGGUGGAGACGCUCCUUCAGGUCUACUGGGCCUUUGAGGCCGUUUAGGGCUUUAAAGGUCAGCACCAACACUUUGAAUUAUGCUCAGAAUAAUAAUAAUGAUAACAAUGCAAAAUGAAUGUUACAGUUAGAGACGAGUCAAUGAGAGACUGAGAAGACAACAGUGCUACUAGGCAUGCACAGAGAUCUCUAUAUAGGGCAAAGGCUCUCCUGUGAUUUGGGUAAUCACCACCCGAUUGCAGCAGUGGUAGAUUAGGCCACGCCAAAACCAGAUCUCUCCAUCUUAGUCCAUUUGCUAGGCCACCCGUCCAGGAAAGGACAUAGGCUCAGCUCUGACUGGUUUUUCAAGCGAUAAAUCUUUCUGGGGCAAAGUCAAUGUCGAUUACGUGAAAAGUCUCUUAGCCAGAGAUGGAAGGAGCUUGCAGCAGCCGCAGGGCAUUUAAGGCAGGGAUGAAUGUGUGCAGGAUGGGCCCAGACAGGUUUUCGGUUUCCCAACGGAGGGAAUUUGCCAUGGGAAUGUCCCUGCCCACAGAAUGUCUGUCUUGGGGACAUGAACCUUUUGACGCAGCAUCACAAAAUCAUGCAAGCUUGUUGUCACAGCUGCCAGUCAGUCAUCUGGGACUCCAGACAGAAGAGUUGGACACCCCCGAAGAUCUCCGCUUCGUUUUAUGUAUUUUUCAAAACACAUACGUAUGCAUGUUUAUAGUCCUCACUGAGGCUCCUUCUAAAGUUGAAAGCAGCAGCCUAACCCAGACUAUGGAGAAGUGAUAUGCUAGCCAUAUUUUAAUAUCCGAAGGCCGUUCCAUGGAUGAUGGAGAGGAGGCCUGUUUGCUGCCUGCUCCAGAGGGUAGGACAAUAAUCAUAAUAAUCAUAAUAAUAAUAAAAUUUUAUUUAUAUCCCGCCCUCCCCAGCCAAAGCCGGGCUCAGAGCAGCUAACAACAAUAAAAGUAACAUAACAUUCUAACAACAAAAGGCAAGGAAGGGAAAUACAGCGAGUAUCUGGAAAAGCAGUGCCCUCAAAUUAAUACCUGGACUUUGUCUUGAAUAAUUUCCGCAAAAUAAAUCAGGGCGUGAGAACGUAAGAUAAAGAGAAAAAUAGAGAAGAGGAAUCGAGAAAGAAACAGUUGACUGAGUUUACAACCGGACCCCACGUUGAGGAUGAAGGAAGUCAAAUAGAAAUGAAUAAGUACUGAAACAGGGAUGUAUCUGUAACAUCUGCUUUGCACUUGUAGCCGUAGUAUCUUUUUGUUAGUUUGUUUUGUGAGUGUUGUCUGUGUUGGUGUCGGUAUAAUAAAUCAAAAAUAAAAAAGAAAGAUUUUUUAUUUUUUUAAAAAAAGGGCAAGGAAGGAGAUCCCAGCUCCACAUUGGGAAGAACUUUCUAACAGCCUUUCAAUGGCAGAACAGAGGCCUUGGGAAAGCGGAGGAGGUUUUUAAAGAGAGGUUGAAUGGCCGUCUGCCAGGGAUGCCUUCGUUGUGAUUCGCGCAUUGCAGAGGGUUGAACUCUUCCAACUCUAUGAUUCUACCCAAUGAAAACCAUAGACUGAGUCAUCUCCAGAAAAUGUUGCUCACCACAUGUAUCCACAGUGUUAAUGAACCACAGUACCCCGAACUCUCUGGAACUCUGCCUCUGCAAACCUGAAUCCCAGAUGUUUUCUACUACAACUCCCAUCAGCCCCAGUCAGCACAAUCAUGGGAGUUGUAGUCCAGGACAUGUGUGCUAUUCCGACACACUGGCCCUUUAAGAACAGGCCAGCCUCCCAGCUGGUCCCGAUUUCCCCUGCGGCAGGCCUGUCUUUGGUGCACCUGCUGGAGAAUCGUAUAAGACCGCAAAAAUUUAAUUAAUAAUAAUAAUAAUAAUAAUAAUAUAAUUUAUUUAUACCCUGCCCAUCUGGCUGGGUUUCCCCAGCCACUCUGGGCGGCUUCCAACAGAAUAUUAAAAUACAAUGGUCUAUUAAACAUUAAAAGCUUCCCUAAACAGGGCUGCCUUCAGAUGUCUUCUAAAAGACAUUCCCGGACAGUCCGUGGGCCGGACUGAAAGGGCGAUUGGGCCACCUCCGGCCCCUGGGUCUUAGCUUGCCCACCCCUGAUCUAGGCUCUUCUGCGCAGGUCUUCCUGCCUUCUUCAAGAAACGGAGAAGGUUCUUCAAAAAUGGAUGUGAUUUCUGAGAAGUGGGGUGGGUGGUUUAGGCAAAAAUGAAAGGAGAAGGGAAGGAGCUCAGGAUGGCUUCGUCUUGCUGGAGAGUCAGGUCUCCUGCUGCCUCCUUCCUGUGGAAAGAUAGCCAGCUUGGUUUUCUGGGGAUGCAGUUUCUCCCAGAAACUGAUCCCCUUCCAGGAAUCGGCUCCAGCGGUGGGAGAGGUUUCUCCCGAUGUCUUAAUGGAGCGCAUUGAUUCUGCCUUCGGCUACUGGGGAAACCCCUGGCACUGAGCGUUGUGCAGAGAGGCCGGGCCAAGCCAGUCUGGAAAUACCCUUCUGGGAGGGAGGCAGCGCAAUGCUCCGUCGGCAGGCCUGCAACAUGUGCUUUCCGGGUGUCAAGGAAGCAGGGAGUGUUUUGGAAGGGGAUUGCCUGCUCUCCUUCGGUCGGAUGUCGCAAGGAGAUGGUUUAUGGCACAACAGAGCUGGAGGGGAAGAGGAGGGAGGAGAAAAAACCCCUCCAGCUGGUGCCUGUUUGCUAUGACUGACCAUUUCCACAACCCAAAAGGGCAGUGGUUGCCAGGAUGGUUUCCCUAGGUGGCGGAAGGCAGGGAAAGGAAAACAAAUCUGCUCUUGGAAAGGCGCCAGCCUGCUGGUUUGUCACCCGGGUUGAUUAAAUUUCAGUGCCUUUGCAAGGGCUGAAAUAUCGAAGCAGGCGCCUUUGGAGAUCUGGAGAUAUUGAGGAAAUGACACGAUCACUUAAACAAUGCCAUAAGCAACAGGCGGCCGCCGAUUAAAUAGCCGGAGUUGGUCAAUUGUCUGCCUAAGGAGUAAUUAAAAUUAAAACCGCCUUGGAUGUCGCUUGCUCAACAGAGGGCCUUCGAUAAACAGGAGCUUCCUUGUGGGAAGAAAAGGGUGCCUUUGGGAUUUCGCUUUUUUCAUUCCCCAGCCUGGUGCCCUCCAGAUCUUUUUGGACUUGCAAGUCCCACCAGCACCCAGAAGUCCUGCUGUGCUCCCCAUCGACCCCCCAGCGUUGCUCGCCGUCAGGGGCUGCUGGGAAUUGUAGCGCAAAACCUCUAGAAGGCACCGAGGCCACAUUUUCCACCAUAAAUUUAAAGCGCUACGACACCGCUUUAAACAGUCACACCUCCCUGCAAUGAAUCCCGGUAGCUGUAGGUUGUUAAGGGUGUUUUUUGGAGGCCUCUGUUCCCAGAGUGGUUUAACAAUGAUCAAUCCUUCUUCCCAGAGUAUUUUGGGAAUUGUAGCUCUAUGAGAGGAAUAGAGGUCCCCGAAUGAACUACAGCUCCCAGAAUUGUCUUUGGGGAAGCCACCGUGUCCUGUAGGGAACUCAGUGGCAAAUGUGACGAUGGACUGGGUGGUCUGUUCUAGCAAAGGCAGUUUCCGCAUUCCUUCGAUUGCCGCGUUCUCUUUUUGCUUUCCAAAACUGAUUUUAAUAGAGGGCUGGAAAACAAGGAAAUCUCAAGCCAUAGAUAGAUAGAUUGUGAAGUAAAAAAUUUAAGGUCUUAUAUAUAUAAUAAAUGUUCAUAUAUGUACCAAGCAAACACGUACAUAAAUAUAUAAACCACAUGUCUGAAGCAGCACAGGAAAACAGCCCUGAAACCAUUCUGACUCCCAAACUGACCAAAUGUUUUCUCUGCAAGGUCAAAGGAAAAUGGAAAAGCCUCCCCGUUGUCUUUUCCUUCACAAAUCCUGUCUUAAGGGUAUGUCUGUGUAUGAAUAGGGUGAGCCUGUGACCUGGCUCAGGAACUCAGUAUUUAUCAUUACAAAAGACUGGCCAGGCUCCCCAGGGUAUCCAGUCAAGUGAGCAUUAACAGGUAACCUGCCAGACAGGAAAUAAGCAACGACGGGAGAUAAACAAUGCACUCAGAUUUCUGUUGUAGACCGCCUUUUCUGUGAUGUAGGUAUGAUGUAUCUGGGGGGUAGUCUUGAGCUACGCCCCUUCUGUGAUGUAGGUAUGAGGUUUCUGAGGGUGGUCUUGGACUCCAGGGCGGGCAAUUUAAAAUGUCUAUAUAAGGGCGGGCACACCUUGGUUUGGGGUCCUCCUCACAACAAUUGAUUGUUUUCAAUCAGCCCUAAUCUGAGUUGGUGGGACUGUUGUUCUCUUGCCCUCCCACUUCUACCGCUGGUUCAAAAGUGCCUCUUGUUAAAAAACAGAAAACUGCACAAGCAGGCAAGCUUCUGAGUUCUACAGAGCUCUUGGUCCGGUAAUGGAGAGAGGAGGAGAUCUGUGCCGCUCAAAGGCUUGCAUCCUUGCAAACCAAGGGAAAGAGGCAGCACUGCUCUCUUUCCUUCUUAUCUCUUGGGCUCUUUGUCACAACAAAGGCACUGAAAUGGACCUAAUCUCCCGCUUUGGGAUCCAGGCAGCUGGCUCUCUCUCUCUCUCUCUCUCUCUCUCUCUCUCUCUCUCUCUCUCUCCCUUUGCCACUCACUGCAGCUCAGUGGAGGCAGCCCAGCAGGUAAACAGCUCACCUGAGCCUCUUGGCACAAUGAGCUCACUGUUUGUCCUUGACUUGUCAAACUCCCCAGGGAGGAGUGAGCCAUUAACCCAGUCCUGGCGUCAGCACAGCAGUGCUGUUCUAAACUCCGGGGCGAGCAUUCUUAUCCCCACUUUAACUUUCCUCCUAUGAUGAACACAUUAGAAAUGCCUUUCGUGAGUCACCAAGGCCAGGACGGAGAGAGACCUCCUGUUGUUUUCUGCAGAAUUCCUUGGGUGUUUCCCCUAACUUUGUCCUGCUUUCCAUAAAUUCAUCUCCGCCAAGAAUAUAUUUUGGGCGGAUUCAAACCAUAUCCUUGGCAUCGGUCAAAAGCUGGAGCGUGGGCAAGGCAGAGGUGGGGGGUCUGUUAACAGAGAAAUCUGAGGGCUCCCUUGGACGAAAAAACAAGGACACCAGCCAGGAAUACCAGAGCGAAACAGCAGCCAGUAGUCUUGGUCUUGAUUGAUGACUGUCGCGACAGGACUCCCACCUGCCACCAGGUGGAAGAAGAUGGAUGCCCUGAACAAAAGAGAACCCAAACUUUUAUUAGCUGCUAAUCCCCAUGUUACACCCCCCCCAAACUGCAUCACAGUUACAUCAUGAAAGGGGAGGUCUGGUGGCAGUAAUCUGAGCAUCCUGGAUCCUGCCCCAUGGUUCCCCUUGCCUUCCACCAAACACCCAUCAAGUGUAACAAUUUCCGUCUUCCCUUCCCCACAGGUGGGCGGGGUUUGCGGCACCAAGCGGGGGCUCACCUGGGCGGGUGCCUCCCACCUGCUUGGGCCAACCUUUGACCUGCCCUCAGUCAGGGAGGACAAUGGACAACCAGCCGGGGGUGGGGCUAAGGCCAAAGAAAAGAGGCUGACCCCUUUGUCAUACCGUUUUGUUUUCAUCUGGGUUUGUUCUUUCUGGAAUGGCUACCUGUCUGGCACUCAGGUAUCAGGAUGCCAGGGAUUAUCACUCAGGCAGAGGGGCUGCUGAGUAGCUGAGCUCACAUGUCUAUAUGAAUUUCUGAAGUUUCCCCAGUGAGCCAGUACAUAGAUCCAUUUAUCAGUGAAUUCUUACAUUUGGUAUCGUGCAGCAGAGGCCCUUGGAAUAGAUAGGAAGAAACUGUUUUGUGGGGACAAAUCACAAAAGUCACAAAAGUGAUUGUGCUGAUUUUGGUAGUGGGCUGCAUGCGCAUGUGCAACGCCCCCAACCUAUACAUAAAUUCCUGCAACAGGUCAAUUGUGAAGGCACUCUGCACAUGAUCAGACGCACCACCUCCUGCAAUUUUAUCUCGCCUCCUUCCCUUCUCAGCCAAACCAGGUCCCAGAGUGAAAACCCCAGGGAGCCUGGAGAAGUUGUUAAACUUCGUGGGUGCUGCCCACCCUGUGUGGCCACCCCAUAAUUUCCAGGCUGAGAGAGGUCAGUGUGUGUAAAUACUUUCUGAUCCUGAACAGGUGGACUUUAGAACCCAAACCAUGACACAUUUCUUCCUGAGAGAAUGAUCAGGGUGUAAACUGAGCCAAAGCUCAACACAGAACCUGUAUUGAAAAAAGCAGUAAUAGAACCCUAGAACUGUAGAGUUGUAUAGUUGGGAUGUACCCCAGAGGCCAUCUAGUCCAACCCCCCACGAUGCAGGAAUAUUUUGCCCAGUGUGGGGCCUGCUGUGAUUAUUUUACAGUCCAGUUCAGAGUGCACCUGAGCAUUUUAGGAUUGCCCUAACCAGCCCCACUCACUCAACAUACAUCUGGGAUUGAGUGGAGGGGAAGGCUGAGCUAUCCUGGCACACAUGAUGAUGAUGAUGAUGAUGAUGAUAGGGGGGAAAAAUUGUUUAUACCCCGCCCUCCCCUGCCAAGACUGGGCUCAGGGCGGCUAACAACCGAUAUAAAAACAAAUUGAUUGAAAUACAACUUAAAAACAAGAUUAAAACACAACAUUAAGGUGCAGCCUCAUUUCAGUAGAAACUCAAAUCAAAAACUUUUGGGGGAUGAAAAUGUCAAAUCUUCACCAAGGCCAACUAUCCAGACCGGUCCUACGUGGGCCAGAAAAAAGCCAGGGAAGUCCCCAAAUAGGAGUUCCAUCACAGAAGGAGAAAGGAAAACGGAAAGAGGGGAAGGGGAUCAAGUUGAUUCCAAGCCAAAGGCCAGGCGGAACAACUCUGUCUUGCAGGCCCUGCGGAAAGAAAUCAGAUCCUGCAGGGCCCUGGUCUCAUGAGACAGAGCGUUCCACCAGGCUGGAGCCAUCACUGAAAAGGCCCUGGGUCUGGUUGAAGCUAAUCUAACUUCCUUAGGGCCCGGGACCACUAGGGUGUUGCUAUUUAUGGACCUUGAGGCUCUCCAUGGGGCAUACCGGGAGAGGCAGUCCCGUAGAUACGAGGGUCCUAGGCCAUGAAGGGCUUUAAAGGUCAAAACCAGCACCUUAAACCUGAUCCUGUACUCCACCGGGAGCCAGUGCAGCUGGAAAAGCACCGGGUGAAUAUGCUCCCAUGGCAGAGACCCUGUAAGGAGUCUCGCCGCGGCAUUCUGCACCCGCUGGAGUUUCUGGGUCAGCUUCAAGGGCAGCCCCGCAUAGAGCGAAUUACAGUAGUCAGGCCUGGAGGUGACCGUCGCAUGGAUCACUGUGGCCAGGGCUGGGCGGGAAAGGUAAAAUUAAAAAUUAAAGGCCAGCAUUUAAUUUUUAAAAGGUGAGGGCAAACUCAGACACACAGAGGCCUUCCCUCCCACAAACAGGUGAUUCAACCAUGCUGUUUCAGACCAUGGCGAGGAGAAAGAUUCACAAUUUGAACACUGCUCUGGACCAAGCCGCUCCCCACACUUAGAAAGCUAGCCCCACUUCGAUAUGCUAGCUUUCUGCAUGCAUUUUCCCCAAGGCAACGUCCCCACCCCAUGCCCACCUGGAGACUGAAGUGGUUCAUUUUUUGGGGAGGGGGGAAGCCUGCCGGAAGGCGAGGAGAGGGUUGGGAAGGCGGUUCCUGGGAUCCCUGGCUGAUGCAGACUGGGUGGGGGCGGCGCCGCCAAAGCAAUCCAGCUCUUCCUGGAAAAGGCAGGGCCUGGCUGACGGAGUAACACCGCCUGCCCGCCAGCCAAAGGAACAACCUGAGUCUUCUCACAUGAUGGGGGUGACGUCACCUUCCUUACUAUCUCUCCCGCCUGAAAGACAAACACGUACACACACACACACACAGCAGCCUAUUGUGCAUGCAAGCACACUCGCCCCAUUGCCACAGGGACCCAGGUGCCAAGCAACUGCUCUUUUGCAAAGUCACCUCAGCACAUCUGAGAGAGAGAGAGACCCAGCCAGGUGUGUAGCAACCCCAGGGAGCUGAGGACAGGUGAGACGCAGAGAGGCCCAGGUGCAAGAUGGGGGCCUUCUGCUGGGCUCCGCAAGGUGAUCAGAUGCCUUCUUCCCUGACUGGCCCAACAAGCCUGCAGGAUCAGGCCAAUGGCCAAUCCAGCCCAGCAUUCUGCACUCACAGCAGCUGGCCUGUCAGUAACCCUCAAGCAGGUGGAACCAAGCCCUCUCGCCUCUUGCAGUUUGCAUCAGCUGGGAUUCCCAAGUAUACCUCCUGCCUCCAGCGGAUGGCUAGUAGCCAUCAAUAGCCCUCUGCUCCUCCAUCAACCUGUCUGAUCCUCUUUGAAAGCCACCCAAUGGGUGUCCAUCAUCACUGCCCAUUGUUGUAAACAAAAUCUGCCCUUUUUUCCCUGUAUGGGGUAUCCAAGAGCCCAUAUAGAGUCCUUACGUAGGUUCCCUAUUGGUAGGAGAAAAUAACAGAGGCCAACCAGAGAAUAUUGAGAAGCAAAGCAGCUCGUAAGCCUGAUCUUUAUUGAUCUGUUGCAACAGGGUACCUCCUCUCACACGCAGAAAAGGAGGAGGACCCAGAACAAAGGUGUGUCUGCCCUUAUAUAGACAUUUUAAAUCGUCCACCCUGGAGUCCAGGAGCACCCCCAGAAACAUCAUAUAUACAUCACAGAAGGGGUGUAGCUCAAGACCACCCCCAGAUACAUCAUCCCUACAUCACAGAAAAGGCGGUCUACAGCAGAAAUCUGAGUGCGUUGUUUAUCUCGUCUGACAGGUCACCUGUUAAUGCUUGGAUUGGAUACCCUGGGGAGCCUGGCCAGUCUUUUGUAAUGACAAAUACUUAGUUCCUGAGCCAGGUCACAGGCUCACCCUAUUCAAACACAGACAGAUAUACCCUUAAGACAGGAUUUGUGAAGGAAAAUACAUUUUCCAUUUUCCUUCGACCUUGCAGAGAAAACAUUUGGUCAGUUUGGGAAGCAAAAAUGGUUUCAGGUCAGUCAGUGCUGAUCUAUGUAUGUGCUUGGUUGGUACAUUUAUGAACAUUUAUUAUAUAUCUAAGCAGGAGAAAAGCUCGUUACCUUUUCCACGUGGCAGCCCUUCAGAUGUUUGAAGAUGUCUAUCCUAUCACCUCCCAGGCUAAACAUCCCCAGCUCCCUCAACCGUUCCUCACAAGGCUUGCUUUCCAGACCCUCGAUCAUCCUGCUCACCUUCCUCUGCACCCCUUCCAGGUUGUUAACCUCCUUCUUGAAUUUGGGUGCCCAGAACUGGACACAGUAUUCCCAGUAUGAAUACUGACCAAGGCAGAAGAGAGCCAGAGGAUUACUUCCCUUGAUCUGGACACAGCUGUGGAUGCGGCCGAGAAUAGCAUCAGCCUUUUUUGCCGCUCCAUCACACUGUUGGCUCAUGCUAAGCUUGUGGCCUACUAAGACAUACACACCCCAGACCCUUUUCACAUGUACUACUGGUAAGGCAAGUGUUUCCCAUCCAUAGUCAGCCCCUGGGCAGAAGACUGGACAGACAGACAGACAAACAGUUCACCUCAUCACCACCAACUAGAUUUCUGUUUACAUAGUAGUCAUUGUUUCUAAAUUGGCACCUCUGCAUCUAAAUUACCGUAGCCCAUGCAAAUCCCAUGCAAAUCCUCUUCACCUGACAGGUAGACUAACUGGGGAACUCCCUGUCCUGGGAUAUAGUGAUUGCCACUGACUGGGAUGGCUUUAAGGCGGCGUAGGACAAACUCAUGGAGAGAGAGAGAGAGAGAGAGAGAGAGAGAGAGAGAGAGAGGUCUGCGCAGAGCUACUAGCCACAAUGGCUAUGUCCUUCCUUCAAUGACAGAGGGAGUAAAUGGACCCCUGACCAUUAGGUCCAGUCAUGACCGACUCUGGGGUUGCGGCGCUCAUCUUGCUUUAUUGGCCGAGGGAGCCGGCAUACAGCUUCCGGGUCAUGUGGCCAGCAUGACUAAGCCGCUUCUGGCGAACCAGACCAGCGCACGGAAAUGCCGUUUACCUUCCCGCCAGAGCGGUUCCUGUUUAUCCACUUGCACUUUGUCGUGCUUUCGAACUGCUAGGUUGGCAGGAGCAGGGACCGAGCAACGGGAGCUCACCCCAUUGCGGGGAUUCGAACCGCCGACCUUCUGAUCGGCAAGUCCUAGGCUCUGUGGUUUAACCCACAGCGCUACCCACGUCUCGUCAGAGGCAGUAAAUACCCCUAAAUGCCCGUUGCUGCACACAGCAAGAGAGGAGAGCAGUCUUGCUGUGCUGGGCCCAGGGGUAACCCGGGUAACGCAGUCCAGGUCCGGUCCCGAAUCCAUAGGUUCUGCAAGGAGUCAGUCCGACAGGGCCAAGGCAGGACACGAGGCAGAAAACCAGGCAAGGACAGGCACUGGAUCUCAGGCAGGUUCUGGCAAAUAGCAACAUUGCUCCCGCAACCUGGGGCAGGGUCCGACAGCCUUUUAUCUCUGUCGGGGUAGAGGCCGGUCCUGAUCCCCCAGCAACUCACCACCCUGUUUCGCCCGAAGUUGAGCACUCCUCCUGCAAGUACUCAGGUCUCUCCUUCUCUCAGACCUCAGUCUCUGCAGCUCGGGAGACGUCGGUGGGUGACUAGACCCAGAGGCCGCCUCAGCUUCCCCUGACCCAACCGGUAGUGGAGCAGCUGUAAGUGAUGGCCCAGCUGGAGGCAACAAGGGAAUCCCCGCAUCUGGAGCCAGGGCAGGAUCAGGCGCCUGACUCGGCCCAGCUGGGGUUUGUUGCAGGGGAACCUGUGCAGACUGGAACUCUUCAGGAUCAGGCCCCAGACUUGGUUCAGGUGAUGCCUGAGGCAAAGGAUCCGGUGCGGACUGAGUCCCCUCUGCUUCCGAGUCUGAGCCCCAGUCCCAGGCCAUCAGACUUGCAGACUUCCCAUUGGGGGAAUCUGGUGCAUUUAUUGUUAUUCUACUUAUUUAUUUAUUACAUCUAUAGACCACAUUUAUCCUCUAGGGAGCUCAAGAUGUGGCGUACAUGAUUCUUCUGCUCCCCAUUUCACCCUCACAGCAACCCUAUGGGGCAGGUUAGGCUGAGAGAUGGCAACUAGCCCACGGUCAGCUUCAUGGCUGAGUGGGGAUUCGAACCCUGCUCUCCCAGGUCCGUUUUGGUCUGAUCCGGAUUCAAGGCUCUUCUUACGUGGUUUCAUUUUGGGGAGAUGCAUCCCAUAACCGGGAUUCAGAGGCAUAUUUACUCUCAGUUUGGAGGCCCGGUCCUUUAUUAAGGUCUGUAUUAAUCUAUGACAAGCACAGGCAAACUCAGCCCUCCAGAUGUUUUGGGACUACAGCUCCCAUCAUCCCUAGCUUACAGGACCAGUGGUCAGGGAUGAUGGGAGUUGUAGUCCCAAAACAUCUGGAGGGCCGAGUUUGCCUGUGCCUGAUCUACGACCAUUCUAAAGCCAGCUGUGGAGGCGCAGGUUAAUUCUGUGUCCCGGGCGGCUGUCUACCAGCUCCACCUGGUACGCAGAAUGAGACCCUCCCUGCCCGCAGACUGUCUCUCCAGAGUGGUGCAUGCUCUGGUUAUCUCCAGCUUGGACUACUGCAAUGUGCUCUAUGUGGGGCUACCUUUGAAGGUAACCCGGAAACCACAACUAAUCCAGAAUGCGGCAGCUAGACUGGUGACUGGGAGCGGCCGCCAAGACCAUAUAACAGUGGUCUUGAAAGACCUACACUGGCUCCCAGUACAUUUCCGAGCAUAAUUCAAAGUGUUGGUGCUGACCUUGAAAGCCCUAAACGGCCUCAGCCCAGUAGACCUGAAGGAGCGUCUCCACCCCCAUUGUUCCGCCCGGACACUGAAGUCCAGCUCCGAGGGCCUUCUGGCAGUUCCCUCAUUGCGAGAAGUGAGGUUACAGGGAACCAGACAGGGCCUUCUGGGUAGUGGCACCCGCCCUGUGGAACGCCCUCCCUUCAGAUGUGAAGGAAAUAAGCAGCUACUUAUCUUUAAAAGACAUCUGAAGGCAGCCCUGUUUAGGGACGUUUUUAAGAUUUAAUGCUGUAUUGUUUUUAACACUCGAUUGGGAGCCGCCCAGAGUGGCUGGGGAAACUCAGCCACAUGCGUGGGGUAUAAAUAAUAAAUUAUUAUUAUUAUUAUUAUUAUUAUUAUUAACCAAUAGGGUUGUGGGUUCGAACCUCAUAUUGAGCAAGAGAUUCAUGCAUUGGGCUAGAUGACCUUGAGUCCCUUUCAGUUCUGUUUCUUCUAACCUUAAGAAGCCUGUCCCCUCCAGCCUGGGAAAUGGUUGCAGGCCCACAGAUAACGGACAGAGAGAGUUUGCGGGAUCCACUUUUCUGGGGAACAGGGACUCAUUCUGGUGUCGUGGGAAGCGCGGCCUGUGGCUAUGUGUGACAUCCAGGAAAUAUGGAGAAUUUACACCAUCCGACAGACAGUGACAACAUUCUGAUGGUUCUCUAGAUGGGGGAAAGAGGUUAUUUAGCGCAGCAGAAGCAGCUGACUCACUCUGGUGGGACUUGCUCAAAUCUGUAUCACGGGCUGCUUAACACAAGCCCAAUGUGCAUUUGGAGAGACAUGGUGGCGACAUCCGUCAACUGCGAGCAAGAGAGAUUCUGGGGAACCGACGUGCCAGAGGCCAUGUCCUCCCACACGCCGCCUCUCCACAGCAGUGGGUCUUGCAACAUGCGGCCGUCAUAAUUAUUAUUUUGUGAAGCUUUCGAAUCACCGCUUGGUUCUGCAAUGUACACUGGUACCUCGGUUUCCGAACAUCUCCGUUGACGAACGUUUCAGAACUCGAACGCCGUAGAUCAGUAGUUCUCAGCCUGUGGGUCUCCAGAUGUUGUUGGACUACAACUCCCAUCAUCCCUGAGCUCUGGCCUUGCUAGCUAGGGGUGAUGGGAGUUGUAGUUCAACAACAUCUGGGGACCCACAGGUUGAGAAAGGCUGCCAUAGAUGCUUCCAUUUUCAAAUGCACCGAACGGCUUCUGCCCUUGGUGCCUCGGUUUCUGAAUGUUUCAAAACUCGAACGGUGUUCCGGAAUGGAUUACAUUCGAAAACCGAGGUACGCUGUAUAUCAAACGGCGAGAACGACGAUAACAGCAGGUGGAAGUCGAAAGAUGGAGGAAGAAAGCUGUAAAAUAGGAACGCAGGGUGAAUGCGGUUGCAGGCGGGUUGACGUAACAAAGUCCGAGAAAAGAAUAUGUUUGGUAUCCGAUUAUCAAGCAUAACUUCAAGGUUCUGCAGGGUGCCAUUGGCCAACUAAUAACUCAUGGCUGGUGAGUUUAUACUGGACCAUCCACACGUCAUUCCGCCUUAUUAGCUGUUCUGCAAUGCCAGCAGGAGAGUUUUUCGUGGAACCUCCAAGUCCAGAGGUAGUCUAUCGAGAUUCUGAGGUUCUGACGGAUAUUUGGCCACCGUGAAAGCAGAAUGCUGGAAUUUGGCCUGUUCCAGCAGCCAGGCUCUUGUUAUCAUACUUUUCCGUGUAUAAGGCUAUGUUUCUUUCUUUUAAAAUUAUGCUGCUGUAAUUGGGCGGGCGAUUGGUAGCUUCUGCCGGCGAGGAGACAGACGAGAGGCGGAUUUUUGGAUGCGUGCGGGUGAGCGAUUUUUGGCAAUCCCCCCUAAAAGAAGCUCAAGGACCCUGGGUAAUCCCCCCAAAACAGCUCAACAACUCUGCGCCAUCUCCCCCAAAUUUUCAUAAAUCUGAGUCCCAAAAAUAGGGGGCGUGUAUACAUGGUGGCGUCUUAUACAUGGAAAAGUACGGUAUGUUCUUGUGGGAACGGGAUGCAAGGCUAAAUGGGCCCUUAGCCCGGUCAAACAUGCAGGCUCUUUUUGUGUUCUUUAUGGAACCUCCAGGGCCAGGGCCAGUCUACCUGGACCCCUAGUUUCUUGGGGGUGUUUGGCACCUUGAGGGCAGGUUGCUGGACCAGACGGGCCACUGUUUGAAUCCAGCAGCCUCUCAUCUGCCCAGGGUAGGCAAUCGGAACCAUUAUGUCCGGAUGUGGGGCAUCGCCCAACCCCACCACUGCUGGCAGCCGUUUAAGAGGAUUUGCCAACCCCGUGAACGGUUCGAGAGGCCAGAAGAUGCCUUCCUCUGUCCCAGGCAGGGCUUUCCCCGCCACUUUCCUCUCCUCUUCCUGGAAGAGGCGGCACCUGUCUGUCAAAGGAGACGUCUCUGUCUCUGGAGAAGGGGUGGACUUGAAUGACCUGCUGCAUCCCUCCCAGCCAUCUCCGUGACGUUCCGAGCCGCCUCUUGGGCGAGGGUGCCUUUCUAACGAGGCCAGCGGGGAUUCCCCCGGGACAGAGGCGCCACCUUCCGUUGCGGCUCUGCGAGCUCCGGCCCGCACCGGUUCCAGCUAGCCUGAACUGGUUUGGCCCUCCCAGCCGCUUGGCAAACCUCGCAGGGCGGGCACGCCAAAGAAAAAACAAAAACCGUGGGCCAGUCAAUCAGGAAGUGCAGGAGAAGGCGAGGCUCAGAAGGUGGAGCGAGCCUCCUUUGCCGUGACGAUGAUGUUGAUCAUCUUCCUGGUUCAGCUCAGAUCACAGUCUGUCAUAAGAACACAAGGGGAGGCUGGUUGCUGGGUCAGGCCAAAGGCCCAUUCUAGUCUUGCAUCGUCACAGCGGCCAAAUGCCCCAAAGGACCGAGAAUUCCAGAUAGACUGCCUCUGGAGCUGGAUGCUCUAUAGGAAUCUAAAAACAGCCUGGCUCCUAGAUGAGGCCCAAGACCCAUCUAGUCCAUGCUCUGGUUAUCUCCCGCUUGGACUACAGCAAUGCGCUCUACGUGGCGUGGGGCGACCUUUGAAGGUGACCCGGAAACUACAACUAAUCCAGAAUGCGGCAGCCAUACUGGUGACUGGGGGCGGCCGCCGAGACCACAUAACACCGGUCUUGAAAGACCUACAUUGGCUCCCAGUACGUUUCCGAGCACAAUUCAAAGUGUUGGUGCUGACCUUGAAAGCCCUAAACGGCCGCAGCCCAGUAGACCUGAAGGAGAGUCUCCACCCCCAUCGUUCUGCCCGGACACUGAGGUCCAGCUCCGAAGGCCUUCUGGAGGUUCCCUCACUGUACAAAGGGAUCCAGUGCUGCAGAAGCAACUGUGUCAUCUUUGGCCAUGGCCACUGGUCCCAUCACCUCCUGGCAAAUAGAAGGGGAAGAAAUGGAGGCAGUGAGAGAUUUGACUUUCUUGGGCUCCAUGAUCACUGCAGAUGGUGGCAGCAGUCACGAAAUUAAAAGUCGCCUGCUUCUUGGGAGAAAGGCGAUGGCAAACCUAGACAGCAUCUUAAAAAGUAGAGACAUCACCUUGCCAACAAAGGUCCAUAUAGUUCAAGCUCUGGUUUUCCCAGUAGUGAUUUAUGGAAGUGAGAGCUGGACCAUCAAGAAGGCUGAUCGCUGAAGAAUGGAUGCUUUUGAAUUCUGGUGCUGGAGGACUGCAAGAAGAUCAAACCUCUCCAUUCUUGAGGAAACCAGCCCUGAGUGCUCACUGGAAGGACAGAUCCUAAAGCUGAGGCUCCAAGACUUUGCCCCCCUCCUGAGAAGAGAAGACUCCCUGGAAAAGACCCUGAUGCUGGGAAAGAUGGAGGGCACAAGGAGAAGGGGACGACGAAGGACGAGAUGGUGGGACAGUGUUCUCGAAGCUACCAGCAUGAGUUUGACCAAACUGCAGGAGGCAGGGGAAGACAGGAGGGCCUGGUGUGCUCUGGUCCAGGGGGGCACGAAGAGGCGGACACGACUCAACGACUAAACAACAACAACAAGUGAACUCUCUGUCCUGCGCGUUCCUUCGGCUGGAAGCUAAGUCCAGCAUUUGGGCCAAAUACCCCUAAGAACUCAGCAGCCAGCCUCUUCUGAUGGAACCACCAGCUCCAGGGGCAGUCUAUCUUGACAAGCGUAUACCCUCCUCGCCUCCCAAACCCAGGGCCGCCCACGCCAACUCUCCUCUUCUUCCAGCAGGGCAUUUGUCCUCCAUCGUUUUCCCAGUUUGUGUUGGCCGUUCUUCCUCUCGCCAGGUUGCGCGGUUCGACUGCUUGCCUUUGCAAAACACACAGGGAGAGCAGAUGUCCCUGGAGCAGAGGCUCUUGGUGUCUCCUCGCCCGCGGACGCCCUGAGUGGUGGGUUGACGCGUCAUGCUUGCAUUUCUGCUGAGACACCGUGAUUCCACCGUUCGCCUCUUGCAAAAGCCGCCUGCCCACAUCUGUUCCUCAGUGGCUCACGAGGCGGCUGCGUGGCUGCGACUCUUUCCUCCCCUGCUCAGUUUUGUAAAACGGCGGUUCCCAAACCGUGCUUGCCUGCAGGGUUCGUUUGAGUGUAUCGCAGGAUGCCUGCGGAUUUGUGGCAGAUGUAUUAAAAUGCAUUUGGGAAUGUUUUAAAUAGCAGGUUUCAAACUGCUUUCACCAAUAAUCUUGUGGUUUUAUCCCUCUUUUUUGCAUUCGGUUUUUUGCCAGUUAAUUGUCAUUGAUUUUCAACAUUUUCAACGAAUUAACGACGGUUCAAAUUUAAAACGAAUUAUUCUUUUUUUGUAAAUUUCUUUGAGGGGUGUGUGUGUUUGUUUGUGUUUGUUUGUUUGCAAUCAAGUGGUAUAUAUAUUUCAUGAAAGAAAAUAAAGAAGUGAAAUAAACAGUCAUAUGGAUGCUUAACUGUAUUUUAUUUACAGGUAUAAUAAUAAUAAUAAUAAUAAUAAUAAUAAUUUAUUAUUUAUACCCUGCCCAUCUGGCUGGGUUUCCUCAGCCACUCUGGGCGGCUUCCAACAAAACACUAAAAUGCAAUAAUCUAUUAAACAUUAAAAGCUUCUAUAAAACAGGGCUGCCUUCAGAUGUCUUCUAAAAGUCUGGUAGUUAUUUUUCUCUUUGACAUCUGGUGGGAGGGCGUUCCACAGGGUGGGUGCCACUACUGAGAAGGCCCUCUGCUUGGUUCCCUGUAACAUCACUUCUCGCAGGUAGGUAACCGUGUUGGUCUGCCGUAGUCGAAACAAAAUAAAAAAUAAUAACAUUUCCUUCCAGUAGCACCUUAGAGACCAACUAAGUUUGUUAUGCAUUUUAUAGUCUCACUAGGCGCUGCUGCCCCUGCUUGCAACUGGUCAACACAACCACCCAUUUGCACAACCUGUAUCCCCUCCCUUUACAUCUCAUCCAAGCCCCCCAUGUCCUCACAACUCCUCGGUGUCUCUCCCCCCCACGACUUUAUUUAAAAAUCUGCUGUUGUUCAAAACCUCCAUUUAAAAACUGGCCUUCUCUUUCACCUCCCCCCCCCCCCGCCUAGCUUCAUGCAAAUACGGGUGUGUGUGUGUGUGAUGCAACACUUCCAUUCCUCCAAUGGGAGCUAUGUGACGACAGCCUUACAAUUUUAUGUCUAUAGGAAGACGAUCAGAACUCUAUGGAGCAGCACGGCAAUGCAAUAAAACGCAGUAUCUAGGAAGCAAAAGGAGCAACGACAAAUACAUUUAAGAAUCCUGCAACUGCUGCAACAGGCGGAAAAAUCACCCGGUCGCCUGCCGAGACCCUUGGUGAUUUCCAAGCCGUCCAUGGAAGGCAGGGAAGUGUUGG